CACCGGUGUUUCUCAGAAUUCUAAUGAAGGUGACAACCCUGGAUUUUCUGACCGAGUGCAGAAAUCGCACAGCAGUACCUUUCUUUCACAACCAGUUACACCUUUAGUAUCUUUAUCUCAGAUACAAGAGAAUAUAUUGAUCGGAUAAUCAAAAUUGAAAAUGCAACGUGAUCAACAUCUGGAAAACGGAAAAAUAUAACAGCAUAA